GACAGAGGGUGCAAACGUUGUUCGGAAUUACUGGGCGUAAAGGGUCUGUAGGUGGCUUGCUAAGUCAGACGUGAAAUCCCUCAGCUUAACUGGGGAACUGCGUCUGAUACUGGCGAGCUUGAGUGCAGGAGAGGAACGCGGAAUUCCAGGUGUAGCGGUGAAAUGCGUAGAUAUCUGGAGGAACACCGGUGGCGAAGGCGGCGUUCUGGACUGCAACUGACACUGAGAGACGAAAGCCAGGGGAGCAAACGGG
rnacentral:rRNA from 1 species